AGCUCCAACUAGCCUACUGCUCCUAAUAAGUGACAAAAUAACACCAACAUUUUCCUAUUUACAUGCUGUGAUAUGUAUAGUCACAGCAUGUACAAAUGACAAGGUCACAUAAGACACAGCCAUCUUCUAACCGUAUUCAUACUGGGAACUAUAUUCUCAGAAGGCAAAGUACUGCUACUUCGGCGGAGUGAUUAUUACUCCAACUCUGAGCAAACUCCAGGCGAACUAUCCAAGGGGCUUCUCCGGUGCUCCGAGCAAAUCAAUCCACCCAAGUAGCAGUUCUUCAGCUUUUGUGGAGAAU